UUUUAAAUGAGCUUGGACUCAGUUUUAGUUAUUGACAUGUUGGUGUGAAAUUUCUUCUUAAGUAUUGCAGUAAUCCAACAGAAAUAAUAGAAUUUCAUUAUAUUUAGGAAGUUACAAAUUAUGUAGUCAUAAUUUUAAACUUGUUUUUCCAGUAGUACUUAUUAACUUUAAAAAAAAAAAGAAAACCCAGCUGUGCUGUUCAGAGAAUGUUUGUAAGUGUUGUACAGAAGAGGAGGAAAAACUACUUGUGCUCUUCCAACUGUGACUUUUAUCACAUAGCUUGGAAUUUAGUGUUUUAAAAGAUCGAAUGAGUCGAGUGUGUAUUGUUGUUUUGGAGGAGGUAGAAGAUGAAUCUCCUGCAUUCAUUUCUAAAUUGCCACAGGAAAAUAAAUCCCUACAUUCUCCACCUUCUGGAAAUGUAUUGGUAAGAUAUCCAUCACUGGUGCAAGCUAUAUUUAACGGAGAUCCUGAUGAAGUUCGAGCACUAAUAUUUAAGAAAGAAGAUGUUAACUUUCAGGACAAUGAAAAGCGAACCCCAUUGCACGCCGCAGCUUAUCUUGGAGAUGCAGAAAUCAUUGAACUUCUUAUUUUAUCUGGAGCUAGAGUUAAUGCCAAAGACAGCAAAUGGUUGACACCUUUACACAGAGCAGUUGCAUCUUGUAGUGAGGAAGCAGUUCAGGUACUUUUGAAGCAUUCUGCAGAUGUUAAUGCUCGAGACAAAAAUUGGCAAACCCCUUUACAUAUAGCUGCUGCUAAUAAAGCUGUAAAGUGUGCUGAAGCUUUGGUACCUCUUCUGAGUAAUGUAAACGUAUCUGAUCGAGCAGGGAGGACUGCAUUACAUCAUGCAGCUUUCAGUGGACAUGGUGAGAUGGUCAAACUACUCUUGUCUAGAGGUGCCAAUAUUAAUGCUUUUGACAAGAAAGAUAGGCGUGCUAUCCAUUGGGCAGCAUAUAUGGGUCACAUUGAAGUAGUGAAAUUGCUUGUGUCGCAUGGAGCUGAAGUGACAUGCAAGGAUAAAAAGUCUUAUACACCUCUUCAUGCAGCAGCCUCUAGUGGAAUGAUCAGCGUAGUCAAGUACCUUCUAGAUCUUGGAGUUGAUAUGAAUGAAACAAAUGCCUAUGGAAAUACACCUCUUCAUGUAGCCUGCUAUAAUGGACAAGAUGUUGUAGUGAAUGAACUUAUAGACUGUGGUGCUAUUGUAAAUCAAAAGAAUGAAAAAGGAUUUACUCCUUUGCACUUUGCUGCUGCAUCAACACAUGGAGCAUUGUGUUUAGAGCUUCUAGUUGGCAAUGGGGCCGAUGUCAAUAUGAAGAGUAAAGAUGGGAAAACCCCACUACACAUGACUGCUCUCCACGGUAGAUUCUCCCGAUCACAAACCAUUAUCCAGAGUGGAGCUGUAAUCGACUGUGAGGAUAAGAAUGGAAAUACCCCUUUGCACAUAGCAGCACGGUAUGGCCAUGAGCUGCUGAUCAACACUCUUAUUACAAGUGGUGCUGACACUGCAAAGCGUGGCAUACAUGGAAUGUUCCCCCUCCAUUUGGCAGCCUUAAGCGGCUUUUCAGAUUGCUGCAGAAAACUUCUUUCUUCAGGAUUUGAUAUAGAUACCCCAGAUGAUUUUGGCAGGACUUGUCUACAUGCAGCUGCAGCUGGAGGGAAUUUGGAGUGCCUAAACCUUCUGCUGAAUACUGGUGCAGACUUUAAUAAAAAGGACAAAUUUGGGAGAUCUCCACUGCACUACGCUGCUGCCAACUGCAAUUACCAGUGCCUGUUUGCUCUUGUGGGAUCAGGAGCAAGUGUGAAUGACCUUGAUGAAAGAGGCUGCACACCCCUGCACUAUGCAGCUACAUCAGACACAGAUGGCAAGUGCCUGGAAUACUUAUUAAGAAACGAUGCAAAUCCAGGGAUCCGUGAUAAGCAAGGAUACAAUGCAGUUCAUUAUUCAGCUGCUUAUGGUCACCGUCUAUGUCUUCAGCUGAUUGCAAGUGAAACUCCUCUAGAUGUUUUAAUGGAAACCUCAGGAACAGACAUGCUGAGUGAUUCAGAUAAUAGAGCAACAAUAAGCCCUUUACACUUGGCUGCCUAUCAUGGUCACCAUCAAGCACUGGAAGUGUUGGUACAGUCUUUGUUAGAUCUUGAUGUCAGAAAUAGUAGUGGAAGAACACCCCUAGAUCUUGCAGCUUUUAAGGGCCAUGUUGAAUGUGUGGAUGUACUCAUUAAUCAGGGAGCCUCAAUCUUAGUAAAAGAUUACAUUUUGAAGAGGACACCUAUACAUGCAGCAGCAACAAAUGGUCAUUCAGAAUGCUUACGGCUAUUAAUAGGAAAUGCAGAACCACAGAAUGCAGUGGAUAUUCAAGAUGGAAAUGGACAGUAAGUUUCGAUAAAUAAUUGUUGCAUCACAGAAGGGCGUAUUUCGAAAACCAGAGUACAGUCUUAAGUGACAGCACUGAACCUAUUCCUGUUGUUGCUCAGGACGCCUCUGAUGCUAUCUGUUCUCAACGGGCACACAGACUGUGUUUACUCAUUGCUGAACAAAGGAGCAAAUGUAGAUGCCAAAGAUAAGUGGGGAAGGACAGCGUUGCAUAGAGGGGCAGUUACAGGCCAUGAAGAAUGUGUAGAUGCAUUACUUCAACAUGGUGCUAAGUGCUUACUUCGGGAUAGCAGGGGCCGGACGCCUAUACACCUGUCUGCUGCCUGUGGACACAUUGGUGUUCUCGGAGCCCUUUUGCAGUCAGCAGCAUCUAUGGAUGCAAAUCCAGCCACAGCAGACAAUCAUGGAUAUACAGCACUUCACUGGGCUUGCUACAAUGGUUAAGUAUACAAACACAAAUGCAUAUCAUUGUGUAGUGAACAGAGAUAAAAGAAUGACAUAUUUAUAAGGCAAAUUUUAAGUUUAAAAUUAGCAAAAACCUUGGGAAUAAUCUACUGUAUAGGCUCACGUACUAAUAAUACUUAGUACGUAGGCUCACUCCUGUCCUUUGUCAUGCUAAAGCCAAGACACUAGUUGUCAAAGGUGUUCUGAGAUAAGCCAUGAAGCAUUUUUGAGGUUUUUCUUUUCUUUUCUUUUUUAGUUUUGGUAAGAUCUUGCUAUGUUGCCCAGGCUGGUCUUGAACUCCUGGCGUCAAGUGAUCCUCCCACCUCAGCCUCCCAAAGUGUUGGGAUUACAGGCAUGAGCCACUAUGUAGCCUGAAGUUUUUCUUAGAUCCUUAUUUCAACAAAUAUUUUGCAUUUUUAGGAGGUUUUUAGAAUGUUUCCAUUGCUUUUAUAUAGUGUGCUUGUAUUUUGAUUGUGUUCUUUUACUUUUUUUUUUUUUUUAAGAGUCCCACUAUGUUGCCCAGGCUGGUCUUGAACAACUGGGCUUAAGCAAUCCUCCCACAUCAGACUCCCCAAGUGCUAGGAUUACAGGCAUGAGCCAUUGCACCCAGCCAUGUUCUUUUACUUUCUAAAUACAAUCAUAUUAGGGGAAAAAUAACCAAAAGUAGGAGAAACAGUGAGAUGUAUCACAUUCUAAACUGAAAUCUAUGUGUGUUUUCUGAGCACAUUGCAAGAUAACAUUCUUAUAUUACCAGUAAUAUCCAUGUUCAAUGUUUUAAAGGAAUAAAUCCCUAGCAGGUCUUAGAAUUAGAAACUUUGAUGGGUUAACUCUGCUACAUGGUUAAAAGAGAUUUUCUUUGGCCUCCUACAGGCUCACAGUCACAGUCAUCGCUUUUAUAGGUAGACUCACAAAAGGUCACGUAGGGAAGCAUAAAGCUACUUUGAAGGUAUAGAUGUUAAAAAUGCAGUUUGGCUUAUGAAAUGCCACUAAUUAAAAUAAUUUAUGUAAUGAAGCAUGUUGAGAUAUUUUUAGAUUUGAUCAUCUUAGAAAACUCAAGUACAUUAUAUACAGUGCAAGCAUCAGUGUUGUCAAAGUUCAAGCUUCAGGCUUUAGCAGAGAAAUUAGAGGUUUUUAAAAUUUGUUUUCAAUUUCAGUGUAGCUUCAAGAUUAAUGUUAAUUAUGACAGCAGAUCUACAAAGCUGUAGUUCACAAACUAAUAACCUUCCCUCAAAAUGCAGAGAAAAUAUAAAUUGUCUCUUUAUAUAAAUACCCAUUUGCUAAAAAUAAAUAAGUAUAAUAUCUGUUGUAAAAUCAGACUGCCUUACCAGGAAGUUGAGAUUUGCUGUCUUUCUAUAAUACGCUGUUUCAUAGUUCUUUCACUGGGAGCUGUUCUGACAAAGUUAUCAAGUUAAAGCAAAAGAGGAAAAAGCUGAAUCUUGUAAAAUUAUAACUUCAUUAAAUGUUUCCACAAGU
rnacentral:sRNA from 1 species